CACACACCGCCCGUCACACCACGAAAGUUGGUUCUACCCGAAGUGGCUGAGCUAACCCGCAAGGGGGCAGGCUCCGAAGGUAGGGCUGAUGAUUGGGGUG
rnacentral:rRNA from 1 species